UCAAAUAAGUGAUGGGGCAGGUACCACUCUUAGGUAAAAAAGCCACUGCAAAUUAAAUCACAGUAUCAAGAUAAGGCUGUCACUGUGCAAGUCUCUGCUGCCCUGAAGCUAAUGUGCACAAUCUGUUUUUGCAAGUGCUUUCAUAUUUUUGCUCUUUAUUAUGAACAUAUACAGCGUGUAAGUAUUUUUAGUAUUGGCUGACUCUGGUAUUUGUAGUCACGAUUGUGGUAUUUAAACAGGAGAUGAUCUGUUCUGCACAUGGAAAAGGGGCUGUGUUAAAGAGGAAAUAAUUUUAAAAAACAUUGCUAUUUUUUGGCAAGAGGAUGUUAUGUUUAUUUCUCAAAGAACAUAUUCAGUGUUCAUUAUGUUCAUGUACAAACCCAUGAUGAUUUGAACCUGAUUUCUAUUCCCUACCUCGGAAGCAUUAUCACUGUGUUAGAAAUGCAGGUAUGCUAUUAAAUUGAAAAGUUCUUACAUGUAUAUAGUCUCAUCUAUUUCAGAUUUUAUAUAACAUUGCUUCCCAAUUUCACUCUAGGAGCUGUGAUUACUUAUAUUAAAUGAGCAAUGUCACUUGAAUUGUAACUUCCAUAAGUAAUGGGGAUAUUUUUAUAAAACUUUAUCAUAUUGGUAAUAUCUGAAAUGCAUUUGGUAUGGUAAAACAGCACAUUGCCAUUGGUUAAGAAAAUUUUGUUCAAAGAAUCUGCCUGGUACUGGUUUUUAGAACACAUUCCAAGACUUUCUGAAAGUCCUGAAAUACAAAUAUGACAUGAUUGUGUUAUGAAGAUGUGUUUGAUGAAGUGAAAGCAAUGAAGAUUUGCGAGGAGUGAGUACUGAUGUUAUUUCCUGAAUAAAUUAAUAAUCAAUAAGUUUCUUGAUGGAGAGCAAGAGUCAAGGUGAAGGUAAGAGGGACAAAACAAAAGAGUAGAGGUGAGAAUUAAUCCAAACAGGUCCUAAGGCAAGGAGGAAGUACUUUCUCUCUGGCUGAGAUCUUUAGAUUUGCUUCUACAGGAUAUGAUGGAAUUGCAUAAAGACAUUACUCUGAGCUUGGUCAAGGCACUGGUUUGACAUAAUAAAGGAAGCUAUCUGCAUGUGAUCUAAAGAUAGGUAAGUAAAAACAAUAAUCUUUUGGUUUUGUUCAGCCAUUUUGGUAACUUCUGUUUCAAUUCAGCAACUUUAAGUGAGAAGUAUAAGUGCCCUAGGCAUAAUUUCCUACCAGCAGAUGGGUCCUCUGGCAGGGUGGUAUGGAUAUCAGGAGAUGUGAAAAGUUAGGUAGGAUGAUUAGACCCCGAAGGAAUCUUAACAAUCCCUUUCACUUCUUUCUGCCCAUCAAUUUCAAUAAACAAGUGCACAAAAGCUGUUUGGAAAACAGCCAAUUCAAAACAAAACUUUAUGUGUCAUUGUAGUUAUAUGAAUGCUAAGCAACACCUACAAUGAAGCAAACUGUGGAGAAGCUGUUGUGCCUUUUCAGAAACAUUUCAUAGAGUUCCAUUAAAAAGAAGGUAAAACAUCUUUGGUAACAAGUCUAGCCUAGAAACUUUCCACAGAAGCUUUCCAUGAUGGUUUUAUUGGAAUUUAUGUUGAAAAAUUCAAAAAUCAGCAGAAAUUGUGACUUCCAUAGGUAUAAAGUGACUCAGUGUGAUAUCAUGGUGAUAGAACUAUGAUACCAUGGUGAAAAAACACAUAGGAACUUCUGUUGCACUUGUGUGAAUAGGUGUGCAGAACAAAAAAAAAAAAAAAAAAUCUCAAUGUCAAAGAUGUGAUUCUGUCAGAGGUAUUACCCCAUCUGGCCUGAGAUGAUGACAUAAAAUUGUGCAGCAUCUCUUGACUUAGUAGGUCUUUCAUAGUUGAUGCUUUUGGAAGCUGUGUGCCAAACAGAGUAUCACUGUCUUUUAGUUCAUUCAGUGACAGAUGGGGAAGACCUAUCACCCUUCCCGUGUGCUGUGGCCCAAGCUUGUCCUGGAGAAGACAGUGAAACGUGUGCACGUUGGCUGUCAUGUCACCCCAGGAGGCACAACGCCAAGGCUAGACUGUGCCAUUGCCCCUCUCUGGUGGAUCCUUGCUUCUGUGCUUGGCGUGCACAUAGCAUCCACUAGUGAAAUACCAUCUAUUCCCCUGCUCCUGGCUCUCCCAGAAGCCAUGAGGAAGCUCUGCUGGUGUAGCUGCUUUUCUCUUCUAGCUGGCUCACUCUUGUAUGGUGGGCAGAGAGAAGAUUGAAGACUGUGAUAAUAUCCUGAUUUGACAGAAGAAACUAAUUCUGCAUUGCGUGCAGUGAUGGAUGUGGUACAAGAAAGGAGAGGAUAAAACAAUAGAAAAGAAGAUUCCCAUCUCAUGUCAUCAAAGAUUGGCACAAAACCCUGAGAAAUAGUGCCAGAACCUGGACUUCCCACUGUGGUGGUGUUUAUGAUCUGGUCAAUCUUAUUUGGCUAUAGCUUUUGUUAUCUGGUAGGAAAUAAGAGUUAAUGUGCUGUAUCCUGUAACUUUAGAUAAUAAAGCCAUGUUUGUAUUUG